AGAAUGGUUGGAAAUCAUUCAUAGAGUGUAAAGGCAUAAGGGAGCUUGACUGCGAGACCUACAAGUCGAGCAGGGUCGAAAGACGGACUUAGUGAUCCGGUGGUUCCGCAUGGAAGGGCCAUCGCUCAACGGAUAAAAGCUACCCCGGGGAUAACAGGCUUAUCUCCCCCAAGAGUUCACAUCGACGGGGAGGUUUGGCACCUCGAUGUCGGCUCAUCGCAUCCUGGGGCUGUAGUCGGUCCCAAGGGUUGGGCUGUUCGCCCAUUAAAGCGGUACGCGAGCUGGGUUCAGAACGUCGUGAGACAGUUCGGUCCCUAUCCGUCGUGGGCGUAGGAAAUUUGAGAGGAGCUGUCCUUAGUACGAGAGGACCGGGAUGGACAUACCUCUGGUGUACCAGUUGUCGUGCCAACGGCAUAGCUGGGUAGCUAUGUGUGGACGGGAUAAGUGCUGAAAGCAUCUAAGCAUGAAGCCCCCCUCAAGAUGAGAUUUCCCAACUUCGGUUAUAAGAUCCCUCAAAGAUGAUGAGGUUAAUAGGUUCGAGGUGGAAGCAUGGUGACAUGUGGAGCUGACGAAUACUAA
rnacentral:rRNA from 1 species